CCCAUUAACAACACUGACACAGACCUAAUAAAUAAACUUGCUGACACACUCCAGGAAACAUUAACCAGAUUCACAGAUAUAGAUCCCAUGCAACAUCCGCACAUUCCUGAACUUCACAACUCGCAACAGUCAGACAACACACUACAUUGUAUGAACACACACAUUCUACCAAAACUUAUUAAUGCAGAAACAACACUCGCAAAAAUACACACACUUAUUUAUGCAGCUGCUUCCACAGUCACUACAUACCUAGGUUUUAAAACACUUCCAAAUAAGCUGGGCACAAACACAAGACACCUCUGAAAGCUUGCCUGGUAAAAUGACUUGAAAAACAAAUAAACAGAACUAGGUAGACUCACUCAACACACAAAAAACAACACAUCCACAAAACUUAUGAAAUCUAUUAGAAAGAUUUUCAAAAAACUAAAAACACACACAUGCCAUGAAAACG
rnacentral:lncRNA from 1 species